GGAAAAGGUGGCAACCCUAGCUGUGAGCCAUAUCAAUCUGCCAAUGCUCAAUAAAUAGGUUAUUUAUUUGAAGUAACCUUCUGGACGGCUGAUACUUUCAUCCUAUUUGAGCUAAACACCAGGAGACUUACAGGAUUUAUCCAAGGGUAAUUUUUCCUAUGGAACUACGCAGGCGUCACGUGGCAUUCGACGGAAAUAAGAGAAAGUCGGGGUUUUCCAGUAAAAAUGAAGGACUGCAUGCUGAGCCGUUAAAAGGGGGAUUGUCCUUUGAAAACGGGACAGUUGGGAGAGAUUCCAGACAUGGUCUCGUCAAGAUAUAACCCCUUAUGUUGCACGGAAUGCUGUUACAGUUGCUUACAUGUUGAUGACGUAGCAAAAGGGGCGGGGCAAGAUACACACGUCUAUAAAAGUUCAACCCGGAAGUCGGAAACUGGCAUUUAGAAGGUUGCAGCCCUGAAACCGGGUGCAAGGUCGGGCCAAACCUGCCUGACCCGCGGGUGCCCGUGGGUAUCAGCCGGCCUGCACAUCACUAAUUUCUUGCUUUGAUAACAAUCAUAGUUUUUAUUGCAAACAUACUUAUCCUCCAGAUACAGUCUGAAUGAUAUUAGAUCUGCACUGUUAGCCAUCCUUUGCAACAUACAGUAUUUAAAAUACAAAUUUUGUAGGGAAGUAGGCAUGUUUGCCUACUUUAUUGCAUACCUUCCAACAUUUUGCAGCAAAUAAAAAGAGGGACAAAAAGAGUCGCCGCGUGUAGCGAGGCGAACAUUUUUUGACUGAACAGAAAAGAAAGAAUUCCGACUCCAUUAAUGACUUUACUCUCCUUAAUAAAGAUGUCUUGCGGGUUCAGUUACAGCUGUUAAUAAAUUACAGACCUAACCCUGCUCAUAAUAAAUAACAGUUGGUCCGGGUGCUAGAUGCCCCAGACCCUGCGCUUAUUCUUUAAAGACAGGAUCUCCACAGUCUUCAGUAAUGCAUAUAAAUCAAAGUGAAUGAAGCUGAAAUCUUACCCUGCAGUCGUUGUGACCCGGGUGCAGCCAGCCCCGAGUCCGUCUCUAGGGGGAACGCCAACAGCAACACAAUGGAAUAAAGGCAGCACACUCCUGGGUUUCAAAAAUUGAUCGCUUGUCUCCAGACUGCAGGUAAAAUUGUCAGAUACUAGAACUGCUCCACACGUGACUCACCUUUUGGACCCACACCUGAACAUUCCAGGAUUCUCCAGCAAUGUGCUGGAUUUAGCUUCUUUAUUAAACAUACUGGGCGCUAAUAUCAUACCUAAUGUCGGAACCCUUUUACCUGCAUGCCUGGCUCUAGUAGCUGUUUGAACACUGAAUCCCCAUAUAAUAUCAGGAGAUGUUUGUUUAAUAAACUUUUAAUCUUA